AAACUAGGAUUAGAUACCCUAUUAUUUUAGAGCUUUACAUUGUAAGUAAAUAAUAAUUACGAAAGCAAAAAAUUAUGGCGGUAUUUUAAGCUUUUCAGAGGAAUUUGCUCUUUAAUGGAUAAAACACCUAAAUCUUACUUAAAUUUGUUAGGCCAAUUUGUAUACCACUAUUAAAUUAAUUAAUAAUUUUAAUUUAUAAAAUUUAUUAAAAUUUAAAAAAAAUUAAGUCAAGGUGCAGUAAAAAUUUAAGAAUGAAGUGAAUUACAAUUCUCUUAAGAGAUUAGAAAAUUAAAAUUAUUAUUUAGGAUUUGAAAGUAAAAUUAAAAUAGAAUGUUAAUUUGAAUAAAGCUCUAAAAUAUGUACAUAUCGCCCGUCACUCUUUAUUAAGAUAAGUCGUUACAUAG
rnacentral:rRNA from 1 species